CUUCAGGUUCUAUUUUAAUGAAAACUUAUUCAGUUUACAUAAAAAAAAUCACAUACUGAUGAUGCCUUUGAUGAUUUGAAAGAACUAAAUGUAUUAUUAGAAAAUGAAGAACAAUUUAAAACUCUUUGCAUGAAACUUAGUUUAGUUGGCGGAAAAGAUGUUGCCACAUGCACAAGAAAAAUUCUUUCUCGCUUAAUUUCACAUCAAUUAACUCUUAAUUUAAAUUGGACGGGAAGAAAUGAAAAAAGUGGUCUUAAAGAGCUUGGAAAUGUAGUUAAGGUCAUUGUAGCUUCUGUUAGGAGAAAUCCGAAUUU